GCAGAGUGACUCUUCACUGUCUGCUAUGGACCAGCACAUUGGCAGCAUAAUUGGAGAGACCUCAGUUUCUGGCAUCAUAUGUGAUGGUGAUAUUGAAGACCCUGUCCCAGACCCUGAAGGAAUACCAGACACACCAACUGAUGGCCUACAAGAAGGGUGUCUUUGGCGAGCGCAUCAGCUGUGCCGCGUGUUUUGACUGACGCUGUCCUGAAACAACAACAAGAGAUCAACACAUCAAUUCUUGGACUCAAACAGCAGCUGGAGGAUGUACGCAACGGCCUGAGAGAGAUAAAUCAAUCAUUGAAAGAACUUGUUGAUCGUGUCAAACAUGUGAGACAAUAAAUUCGGGUGCAA